rnacentral:rRNA from 1 species
GGUUGAUCCUGCCAGUUGUUAUAUGCUUGUCUUAAAGACUAAGCCAUGCAUGUCUAAGUAUAAGCAAUCUUAUGCGAAACUGCAAACGGCUCAUUAUAUCAGUUUCAAACUUCUUUGGCGCAAACUUACAAGGAUAACUUGGGGAAUUCUCUUGCUAAUACUCGUUGAUAUUGUCUGUGGAGGGUGCACUUGUGUAUCCUCUCUGACGUACGUACCCCUACUUGUAACCAAUGCAACUUUAAGUUGAAACUAGGUAAAGAUGCGAAUCGCGAGCCAUUGAGCUCUCGAUGCC